rnacentral:rRNA from 1 species
AUCUGUAGCUGGUCUGAGAGGAUGAUCAGCCACACUGGGAUUGAGAUACGGCCCAGACUCCUACGGGAGGCAGCAGUGAGGAAUAUUGGACAAUGGGGGAAACCCUGAUCCAGCAAUGCCGCGUGAGUGAAGAAGGCCUUUGGGUUGUAAAGCUCUUUUACUCGGGAAGAUGAUGACGGUAGCGAGAGAAAAAGUUCCGGCUAACUCUGUGCCAGCAGCCGCGGUAAGACAAAGGGAACUAGCGUUGUUCGGAUUGACUGGGCGUAAAGGGUGCGUAGGUGGUCACUUAAGUAAGAUGUUAAAGCCCAGGGCUUAACCCUGGAAUCGCGUUUUAAACUGAGAGACUAGAGUGUGGUAGAGGAAAACGGAAUUCCUAGUGUAGAGGUGAAAUUCGUAGAUAUUAGGAGGAACACCGGAGGCGAAGGCGGUUUUCUGGGCCAUUACUGACACUG